rnacentral:lncRNA from 1 species
UGUGAUGCCUGUUGCUUUGUUUCACUUAAGAUGGCUUUGACUAUCUGGGGCCUUGUACACUUUCAGAGAAAUUUUAGUAGUGCUUUUUCUAGUAUUGUGAAGUAAUGUCAUUGAGAUUUUUUUUUUCCAUGCCACGAGGUGUGUUUUAUUUUCAUUAAUCAUACAAAUAAUUUUCUAUAAUAUCCCAGGGCAAACCGGAUAAAUUUGGCAGUCCGAUUGGGGGAGGGUCCCCUCGAAGACCCACAGGCCGGUGGCGGCAGCGCGGAGUGCCUGGGGUUCACAGUGCAGCUUGUGGCUCGCGUCCAUCUUGCAGGUGGGUCAUCUUCCACAUCAGGACUUGGGGUCUCCAAGAUGACGGGGGUGGGGACUCCUCCAAGCUCUUAGGAAAUUUCACUCCGUUUCUCCUGCAAGAUGGACUACAUUUGUAAAUUCCAUAAAUAAUAAAUACUUUU